AUGGCGUUGGAGGAGGGAGCACGGGUGGCUGCCGCAGCUGAAGCACGGGUGGCCUGGUUGUGGCGGAGCAUGGCGGGAGUCCGGGCGGCGUCGUGGUCAUGGUCGUGGUCAAGAGAAGAAGCACGGGUGGCCGCCGCAGCUGAGCUUCUAUGUAACAUAGUUCCGAUGAAUCCUCUGCCGCAGCUGGCCUCUACAGGUUGGGCUCUCCUGUUCUUUUUUGUUGGCUUGACGUACGCACUGGCAACCUCCUACGUGAGGGAUUCAGCAUGCCUCUAUUUGAGAGAAAAGAUAUGGAGAAGUGGAUUUUCAGAGUAUCUUAGGCACACAAGCUAA
rnacentral:rRNA from 1 species